rnacentral:rRNA from 1 species
GAUGAACGCUGGCGGCGUGCUUAACACAUGCAAGUCGAACGGAAAGGCUCCUGCUUGCAGGGGUCCUCGAAUGGCGAACGGGUGAGUAACACGUGGGUGAUCUGCACUGCACGUCGGGAUAAGCCUGGGAAACUGAGGCUCAUACCGGGUAGGACGAUGGGGUGGAUGCUAUGGUGGAGAGUUUUUCGGUGGGGGAUGAGCUCGCGGCCUAUCAGCUUGUUGGUGGGGUAAUGGCCUACCAAGACGUCGACGGGUAGCCGGCCUGAGAGGGUGUACGGCCACACUGGGACUGAGAGACGGCCCAGACUCAUACGGGAGGGAGGAGUGGGGAGUGUAUCACAGUGGGCGCAAGCCUGAUGCAGCGAGGCCGCGUGGGGGAUGACGGCCUUCGGGUUGUAAACUCCGUUCGCUAGGCACGAAGCGCAAGUGACGGUACCGGGAGAAGAAGCACCGGCUAAUUACGU